rnacentral:rRNA from 1 species
AGUGAACGCUGGCGGUAGGCCUAACACAUGCAAGUCGAACGGCAGCACAGUAAGAGCUUGCUCUUACGGGUGGCGAGUGGCGGACGGGUGAGGAAUACAUCGGAAUCUACUUUUUCGUGGGGGAUAACGUAGGGAAACUUACGCUAAUACCGCAUCCGACCUACGGGUGAAAGCAGUGGAUCUUCGGACCUUGCGCGAUUGAAUGAGCCGCUGUCGGAUUAGCUAGUUGGCGGGGUAAAGGCCCACCAAGGCGACGAUCCGUAGCUGGUCUGAGAGGAUGAUCAGCCACACUGGAACUGGGACACGGUCCAGACGCCUACGGGAGGCAGCAGUGGGGAAUAUUGGACAAUGGUCGCAAGCCUGAUCCAGCCAGACCGCGUGGGUGAAGAAGGCCUUCGGGUUGUAAAGCCCUUUUGUUGGGAAAGAAAAGCAGCAGGUUAAUACCCCGCUGUUCUGACGGUACCCAAAGAAUAAGCACCGGCUAACUUCGUG